CACGUUUGUUGUCUAUAAUGGGAGGUGGCCACCACCGCCAUUUUGACCGUGUCACAGGUUCCGUCCAGCCCAGACAAUUCCAUAAAAGGGAAGAGAGGAGGUGCUGAGGGUGUGGCUGUAAGGCUGGGCUCGAGUGACGACACCCAGGCGAACUAGCUACGAGCUAACCUGAAGCUAACCCUGGCUAACCCAAAGCUAAAGCGGAGGUGGGAGCCGAGCUAACGGAUGUAGCCACCUAGCUUCAACCCAACCGGAGCUAACUGGAACACCCAUCGACCUGAACCUUACACGGAGUUUAGGUGGAGGUUUUCUGCGCCUGUUCGUGAGAAGUACCUGUAUUAAAAAAGUUUUAAAUCGGUAAGUUUAUAAUUUAUUUCCGUAAUGAAAACAUUUUGCUUUGAGCAAGUUUUCAGUAGUUUUUUUCGGCGCUAUCACUCCUGAGUCGCACCAGCCAUUAAAUGUAUCAUGAAUAAGAGAAAAUAUAUUUAAGUCGUAUUUUGGGGGGACAUUUUAUUAUCUUUCUUACAAAAUCUGAGACCAAGCGUUUCACAUUGCAACACAAGCACCGGUAACCAUAACAGAAUGAACAACAGCCAGCAGAGGAGAGGAUGGCGGUGUUUCAAACCCUCCCGGCCGGCGAGGACAGCUCAUUCCUGGGCUGGAGCCGGCCCUCAGCACCCCGCCACAGGCUCUAACAGAUGCUGGCGGUGUUUGAAACCCUCCCAGCGGGACAGGGGGACUCAUUCUUGUGUGGGUCGGAGUCGGCCCGCAGCAGCGCGGUGUAGCCUACAUAUUUUGUUAUAUAAGUCGCUCCGGAGUAUAAGUAGCAGGACCAGCCAGAAUAUGUAAAAAAGUGCGAGUUAUAGUCCGGAAAAUAUUGCAGUUAUUAGUAUUCGAGCUAAAUUAGCAGCGUAAAUACAUUUCAUAUAUUUCCAAAAUGUUAUACUUGUUUGUAUCUUGUACAGCCAACUAGUCUUUAUUCUGGACUCAGUACAAUUUACCAAAAGUAAAGAGACAUUCUACAGAUGAAGUAAGCACAAGAUAACUUACUGGAAGACACGGAAUUAUCAUCAGAACCAGAGAGCCUGAUAACAGUCGUGAAAAUAACAGUUAAAAAGUAUGUAUGUAUAAUAGAAAUAAAAAUAUAUUAGAAUUAGUGUAACUCACUGUGAUCCAAACAAUAAAUCAGCCAUAGCUGAUUAGUAAAUAUGACAUGAGGUCUGGGAGUUUUUAAUUUUAAUUUUUUUGUUAGAUCUGUUUAAAUGUCACCAUGGCAGCCUGUGUGUCUCCAACAUCAGCUACACAAAGCAGCAAGUCCAUUUGGAUCAUUGGAGACAGCUGAGUGAGGCGUGGUGCCCAGAGAGCUGCAGAGACAACCUUGGCCUCCCUGACGUCUGUGUCUCCUGGUUCGGUUGGGGUGGACCAUCGACAUACAUACAUGUGCCGACACUUUGCGCCCUGUUUUAUAAAAUGUAGUGUUAAAAAUAAAUGUUUUUGCUCAA